rnacentral:rRNA from 1 species
AUGCGAGCUUAAGCCGUUAGGUGUAGGCGAAGCGAAAGCGAGUCUGAAUAGGGCGCAUGAGUUAGAUGGAUCAGACCCGAAACCGAGUGAUCUAGGCAUGGCCAGGUUGAAGGUUGGGUAACACCAACUGGAGGACCGAACCCACAUCCGUUGAAAAGGAUCGGGAUGAGCUGUGCCUAGGGGUGAAAGGCCAAUCAAACUCGGAGAUAGCUGGUUCUCUGCGAAAUCUAUUUAGGUAGAGCGUCAUCCGAAUACCCCCGGGGGUAGAGCACUGGAUGGGUAAUGGGGCCCCACAGGCUUACUGAUCCUAACCAAACUCCGAAUACCGGGGAGUACUAGAUGGCAGACACACAGCGGAUGCUAACGUCCGUUGUGGAGAGGGAAACAACCCUGACCUACAGCUAAGGCCCCCAAUUCAUGGCUAAGUGGGAAAGCAGGUGGGACGACCAAAACAACCAGGAGGUUGGCUUAGAAGCAGCCAUCCUUUAAAGAUAGCGUAACAGCUCACUGGUCUAAAUAAGGGUUCCUGCGGCGAAAAUGUAACGGGGCUAAAGAUAUGCACCGAAGCUUAGGGUUGCAGUUUACUGCAGCGGUAGCGGAGCGUUCCGUAGGCGAGUGAAGGCGAAGGGUAACCGACGCUGGACGUAUCGGAAGUGCGAAUGCUGACAUGAGUAGCGACAAACAGGGUGAGAUACCCUGUCGCCGAAAGACCAAGGGUUCCUACGCAAUGCUAAUCAGCGUAGGGUGAGCCGGCCCCUAAGACGAGCCCGAAGGGGGUAGUCGAUGGGAACACGGUUAAUAUUCCGUGACCUGGUGGAAUGUGACGGAUCUCGUGUGUUGUCUGAUCUUAUUGGAUUGAUCAGGCUUCGAAGAGGUUCCAGGAAAUAGCUCCACCAUAUAGACCGUACCCUAAACCGACACAGGUGGACUGGUAGAGAAUACCAAGGCGCUUGAGAGAACGAUGCUGAAGGAACUCGGCAAAUUGCACGCGUAACUUCGGAAGAAGCGUGACCUGUAUUUACGCAAGUAGAUAUAGGUGGCACAGACCAGGGGGUAGCGACUGUUUAUCAAAAACACAGGACUCUGCUAAGUCGGCUUCAAGACGACGUAUAGGGUCUGACGCCUGCCCGGUGCCUGAAGGUUAAAAGGAGGGGUGAG